rnacentral:rRNA from 2 species
CGGUGGGGUAACCUUUUUGGAGCCAGCCGCCUAAGGUGGGACAGAUGAUUGGGGUGAAGUCGUAACAAGGUAGCCGUAUCGGAAGGUGCGGCUGGAUCACCUCCUUUCUAUGGAGA